rnacentral:rRNA from 1 species
GGGGAAUAUUGGACAAUGGGCGAAAGCCUGAUCCAGCCAUGCCGCGUGUGUGAAGAAGGUCUUCGGAUUGUAAAGCACUUUAAGUUGGGAGGAAGGGCAGUAAAUUAAUACUUUGCUGUUUUGACGUUACCGACAGAAUAAGCACCGGCUAACUCUGUGCCAGCAGCCGCGGUAAUACAGAGGGUGCAAGCGUUAAUCGGAAUUACUGGGCGUAAAGCGCGCGUAGGUGGUUCGUUAAGUUGGAUGUGAAAUCCCCGGGCUCAACCUGGGAACUGCAUUCAAAACUGACGAGCUAGAGUAUGGUAGAGGGUGGUGGAAUUUCCUGUGUAGCGGUGAAAUGCGUAGAUAUAGGAAGGAACACCAGUGGCGAAGGCGACCACCUGGACUGAUACUGACACUGAGGUGCGAAAGCGUGGGGGAGC